CCUGAGGGAAUCUGGCGGAACGUUCUGGAUUUUAUUUGCGUAACCUCGAGCCGUUGCCAACGGAAACUAUUUUUCAGUUGAUUUCCAUUGGGAAUUGUUCCCUUAUCUUAAACAACUUUAAGUUUGAUAUUAAAUGCAUACUCACACGUACGUCGUACAAUAUGUUAAUUUCCGAUAGUUGCGCCGUACUUUUAACCACGAUGACUUGACGGGACUCUCACUGCGUACAAAACAGCGUUCUACUUGCGGGCCCAAUUUUGACAUCAGGGAAGGCUGAAAAUCAUUUCAAGGUGGAAGAUAAUUUGACAUUUCUUCAACGGAACCCAGCACCUGAAUAUGGCUGAGUAUAUUUGAUUUAAUAUCGAUACUGCUUAGUGUUCUUUGUUACUUCAGCUUUUGUACGUUAUAAAUAUCUGCUGUCAUUAAUUGCCACAGUAGUUAAACCCUACCCAAUGGAAUGACGUUAAACAACGACUUCGGUGCAGAGUUACCAACUGGAUAAUAUCAAAGCUAAAAUAAUGGCCGUGAUCCCACACGUUACAGUAGAAGUUACUCUAAAACUGUAAAAGGUUAAAAAGGUAACAUGUAGUUUGUCCCAAGGUGUCUGCCUCCUCACCCAGAGCAAGACCUCCACCUCCUCACCCAGAGCCAGACCUCAAACUCCUGUCAGAAGUCCUCCAGAACAGGUGAGGCUGAGAGGCUGGGGACCGGAGGCUUGUGGUGCCAGGAUGGACCGGAGACUGAGGCUGGAGACCAGGAGCCUGCAGCACCGGACCAGAGGGAGCUGAUGGAGAUGCCGUGCUGAAGGAGCUGAUGGAGGAGCCGUGCUGAAGGCCCUGCCUGGUGGAGGAGCUGGUGGAGGCCCUGCCUGUUGAAGUACCAUAUAUGCCAGACGACUACAUCUGUUUUACCACAUGUUGAAGCAAGACUUCCGCUGUUUGUUCCAGAACAGGACUCUGUCUGAGGAGAGCUGCUGGAGGAGCUGAGACGCUGGAGGACGACUAGGAAUCAAUCAAGGAUUCCUCAACGUGUUUCUGGAGCGGAGGCGAGCUGACUUUAGGUCCAGACUCGCGCUGUUUGUUCCAGACCAGGACUCUGGCUGAGGAGAGCUGAUGGAGGAGCCAAGACUCUGGAGGACGACAUCACUCCACCAACUAGGAUCCUCACCAGGAAUCUGGAAGACUGAUGGAGAAGCCGUACAUCUGGAAGGCAAAUCCUGAGGACCACCAGGACUCUACCAUCAAGGUUUCCUCGCAGACACACCUGAGCUGAACCUCACCUGAUCCUGUUUGGAUGGGGGUAGACGCACCUGAGCUAAACCCGCCCUGAUCCUGACAUCCUGCUGGUCCCGUCUCCUCAGUUCUCCUGAGCCUCGUCCUCCAGAAGACCUGCUGAGCUCAGCAGUCUGAGGCUGAUGGAUCAAUGACCUCCAGUGGGAGUGAUCUUCUUGACCCCACAUGUAACCGUGUGCUUCCACACGCCUGUCACUAACUUCACUACUCUCUACUGCUUCCUCUUUUCUUCCUUCUCUGUGGUUCGAACCUUUACACGGAAGGCGCGUCUUCCUGCCCUCAGAGGGUUUAGCGUUAGGGUUGAGAGUCAG
ensembl:lncRNA